rnacentral:rRNA from 1 species
GAUGAACGCUAGCGGCAGGCUUAAUACAUGCAAGUCGAGGGGUAGCAAGAUUGUAGCAAUACAAUUGUUGACGACCGGCAAACGGGUGCGGAACACGUACACAACCUUCCUACAAGUGGGAAUAGCCCAGAGAAAUUUGGAUUAAUACCCCGUAACAUAGCGAUGUGGCAUCACAUUGCUAUUAUAGCUUCGGCGCUUGUUGAUGGGUGUGCGGCUGAUUAGAUAGUUGGCGGGGUAACGGCCCACCAAGUCUACGAUCAGUAGCUGAUGUGAGAGCAUGAUCAGCCACACGGGCACUGAGAAACGGGCCCGACUCUUACGGGAGGCAGCAGUAAGGAAUAUUGGACAAUGGACGCAAGUCUGAUCCAGCCAUGCCGCGUGAAGGAUUAAGGUCCUCUGGAUUGUAAACUUCUUUUAUAAGGGACGAAAAAAGGUCUUUCUAGAUCGUCUGACGGUACCUUAUGAAUAAGCACCGGCUAACUCCGUGCCAGCCGCCGCCGUAAUAC